GAGUUAACUUUGGAGUGACGUCAGACAGCGCGAAUAUAAAUUAUAGUUAUGGGCGCUCAACUCAAGACUUCGAGAUUCACGAGAGACUUGUCUACGGAUCCUCCACUGUCUGGGGAUUGCAGCACCCACACCUGCACAUAAGCUGCUGAUGGAGUCGUCUGGACCGUUAUUUGAAGAGUGCAGCACUAUGAAGCUAUGAGCCCUACCUGAGAAGCUGCAAGUAAAAUUGACAUUAUGAGGGAAAGAUUGCUGAAGAGUACAAUUAUCAGUUAUAGCUUUCGACUUUCUGAGAGUUGCUGUUUUUGAUAGUUUUGUCCAGAACAGCUGGAGACAACCUCUUUGAGAUGGAAGCAUGGAGCAAUUCUCAUUCUCUGAAAAAGUGAGGUAUUUCAAAGUUUUGACCUAGAUAUAUGAUCAAAAAUCCACUGUCAAAGAAUUUUUGUUACAUCACUCACAGCUUUGCACCCAAUAUUUCAGACUGAGGAAAUUACUCAAAAAGUUACAGCAAAUUAAAGAUUGGUAUCUUCUUUUAUCUUGGAGUCUUUUGCAUGGAUUUACAGGAAGGAGCAGGGGUGUUUGUGGAAAGGAGGAUUUUCCUCAUUUCAUCAUUACCAUGGGGUAUCUGACUCAACCCGACCUAUGAGACUUGUUAAGGGUUGCCAGUUUUCUACCAGGUGUAUUGGUCGCUACUUCCGUAAAAAGGUUGUGUCUGUCAGAAGUGAAGGGACAUUUAAGCACUUUUCAGCCCCAUUCUUGUGGUAAGCCCCCGCCUUUUCUCGGUGGCCAAGUCCCAGGUUAGGAAUUCAAUGCAUCCUGGUGUCUGCUUCUGGUGGCUUCAAAAGACUUGGUUCUACAUUUUAGCUGUCCUGCCCAAAUGAAUAAGCCUGUGGGAAUCUUCCUCUGCUCUACAAGAUUUGUUUUCUAAAUACAUUUUUCAUCACUCCAUUAUCAUAGUGUUGCAUGUAAUUACAUGUAAAACCUGACAAAAUUGGUGUACUGCUAGAGAGUCAAAUGUCGUCAGAAACCCAUGGUUGAUUACGCAUCGCUCUUCUCAACAUCCCCUGUGGUUCCCAUUAAACAUCGAUGCAUCAGCUUAAUAUUCGAUGGAUCCAUGUUGACAUGGGGAUGUAAAAUAUAUGGAUAUAAUAAGUGGCCUUGAGUCCCCCACCCCUCAAGGCUAACCCAGAUAAUGGAAUUAUAUAAAGUAAAUUAUUCUUGGGCUUCCUUGGACUUUCAGACGAAAUUUUAAAAAAUGGAAAAAGACUCAUCUGGAAAUUCCAGUACCGGUAAAAUGAAGCCUUGCACAGUGAUCGGACUGGACAUCCAUACUUUAUGGCACAUUGCUACAUGCGCAUGCGUACCAAGCUAUUUCCUUUUCGGAAUCGACCAUAAACGUUGAAAAGCCAGUCGAGACAAAGGUACCGGCCACCACUGCUAGUGGGUAUGGGGUGAUGAGGGUGAGAUGGCCAGAGGAGGGAACCAAGUUUGAGCUAUUUUACCAGGUUGCUCUAGGGCACAGAUGGCAUCUUGUCACAGUUUCAGAGUGGACCAGGGGGUCAGCCAUAAAAAAGCUCUGUGUCAACUGAGCCCGCCUUGUCCUGGAGACAUGUACAUGAUCAUGAGAUUAACCAGAUGAGGAUCCACAGUAAAGCACAGGGGAUUUGUUGCGGGGCCCAUCCUUCUGUGUAAUUAUGUAGUUUAUAUGUUGCAACAAUUCAAUUAAUACUUAAUUUGAAUAACUAUGCUAAGAAUUCUUAAUCAUUUUGCCUCAGGCUCUUGCCUCAGAGAGCAUAUAAUGAUGUUUUUCUGGUACUUAUUAAUCUUCCUCUUGAUGUUUUUUAUAAAGUUUAUACAUUUUUUUAAUGCUUAAUAACUUUUUUUUGUUUUGUACGAAUGUGACUUUUGAUACUUUUUACUAGUUUGAAUUUCUUGUAGAGACUCAAUGCCUACUGAGCCUCCACUAGGGAUGGUACAGUUACAACCCACACCUACACAUAAGCUGCGGAUGGAGUCGCCUGGACCAUUAUUUGAAGAGUGCAGCUCUAUGAGCCCUAACUGAGAUUUCGCGAGUAAAGAUUUCCUGAUACUUUCCGACAAAAGUCAUGUAUCCAGGUAAUGCGAUGGCUCGACCUUGUAAAGCUCAUCCUUGAAGAAGGAGCCUGCAGCCUGACCAGUUGAGCUAUCCGGAUCAUUGGUUACUGCCUUAACUUCAAUGUCGCAGUGGUGUGCAAUUACAAAAUUUGGCCACUAGCCCAGGGGCUUGUAGGAGUAACAGAGUUACUAGCCCAAGAUCCAAAGUUACUAGCCAGACAAUUGUCGGACAUGUCGACACUUCAUUUUAAAAAAGGUUUUUUUUUAGGUUACAGAAAGUGACUUACUGCUCCAAGUUUUGGUCUUGAUGAUUUUGCUAUUUCACUUUGAUGGGCACCCUGCCUUGGUCUUAAGAUAUGGUAGUUCCCCAGCUGCAGGCUGUUUCCUCUCUCUCGGAUGCAGACAGGGGGUUUUCGACCAGUUCCGUCAAUUUGGAGGACAACUUUUUGUAUCUACAUGUCAUCAAAAAGCAGUAAAUUCAUCUCAGAUCUCACUGUCAGUCCACUCUCAUCACUGAGGAAGAGAGCCCCAUACUCAGAUGAGCACAGCAUAAUGGGGUCCACUACAUGCAUUGAAAUAUAACAGGGAAGUGUGCAUGUUGGUUUAUAGCUCAUGAAAGAUUUUCUUUUCAUUCGAUAUGGCCAAGUUAAUAUUGAAGAAUAUGUUAAUCAUGUUGAAGCCAAUUCUUACAUAGCUUACUAUAAUGGAAUACCUUUGUGGAAAUUGUCUAAUGUAUCCAGCUGGACUACAGCAAAGUGUCUUAACACCCCACUGGAUGGGUAUUACUUAUUUCCUGUACCCCCAAGAAAGACCAAGGGGAUGGAUUUGAUAAAGAGUGACCUACGGUACUCUUGAAUUACAUGGAAUACUAAAAAAAUCAUUCUUGGAUAUAUUUGAGUUGGAAAUGAAGGAAUGCAGAGCAACACGGACCUCCAAAAAGAUAAGGAUAGGAUCAGGUGCCUAGGAGGAGUGAGCAUCCUCUGCUGACCUGUCGCACCCCCCACAUGCUCCUUGUCCCAAUAGACAUAAUCGAGAAUGGAGAAUAGCAAUGGAAUAAGCAUAGUGGGAGAAAAAAAUGGUACAACUGGCCAAGGAUACGAUGUCACAGAAAUAACCCCAGUGGUUAUGAAUGUGGCUAUCCAGCUGUCGCCACAGUGGUUGUGGUGGGGAUGCCAACUUCUUCUUUUUCUGUUUAAGAAGAUGAUUGGCUAGGGACCUAAGAGGCUGACCGGAUGCUAAAACAAUACAGUCCACUUCAUCAUCUUCAAACUUAUUGACUUUACGCAACUUAUGCUUAUAACUUUUGGACACAGAAAUUCUUUGUAAUCUGUUGAAUUACCGGUAUUGCAUGUGCAUGGUCAAUGGCAACUAAAAUGUGUAAGGUCAGGUUUUUAUCAAUUUUAUUGUUGAAUUCAAAAGAAUGUCAAAAAACCGAGGUGACCAAUACCUACUUAUUUUAAAUAAGAUCUUUGGAUUUCGACAUUUUGUAUAGAAUGCAGUUGGUUUUCAUCAUUUUCAAGUCAUAAUGCUCAAAACAGAGAUGAAUUUCUCUUCUGCUGUAUAUUUUAGGUUAUAUCAUUUAAGAUUUAAUAAUCUUAUGAAGUUUAGCACUAUAAUCUAAACAGUUUAUAGUUUGCUCUUAAUUUAUUUAAACAAAUAUAAAAAGGGUCAAUGAGAGAUACAAUGCUUUUUCAAUCACCUGACCUACCCCUCCCUCUCUCUCUCUCUCUCUCUCUCUCUCUCUCUCUCUCCUCUCUCUCUCCAUGUAUGUACAUCCAGAAAAUUUUUCUGCAUGUUGUAAAGGACAGACUUUGAAGUUUAAUUAAAUUUGCAUGCAAGAUAGUUUGAUAACAUAUCAUCAUGUUCUGUAAUAUUGUAAAAUUACUGAACUGUUCUUUUUCUUAGUAUGAAAAUUGUAAAAAGCUACAAGUUGUUAAAUACAUGUAGCUUACUGGUAAAUGUCAUAUACAGUAAUACACGGUUAUAAUGAAGCGCCAAGGAUAGGUGAUUUCGCUUCUUUAUAAGCGUAAUUUAUUAUAUCCGUCAAGUUUACACAAUGUGAUAUAGUCACAGGGAAUGAAAAUCACUUCGCUGUAAGCGUCAAUUCAUUAUAAGCGUGUUCUCUUUAACGGUGUUUUACUGUACUGGUACUGGAACAUAUGUAUUGUAAAACUUAUGAAUUUUUCUUUGUUUAAAUAUUGAAAAAAUACCAAAGUGACUACUUUCCAACUUCUAGCCUAAGGGUCUCUCAGACAAAACUUGUCUCUGAAUUAUUGCUGGAAAAAACCCAAGAAGGGCCAAUUGCUAGCUAAAUUAGUAAUAGUGCCAUUGUGUUGAGUAAACUUUAUGUGAAACCUAGACCUGCAGUGUUUUGUUAAUUAAACAUAGAUAAUUAUACGUACUGUAUUUACAUUCUGUAUAUAGUAUCUGGUAUGAAUACAAACCUGAAAAGAGACGCCAUUAAUCUGAGUCAGUACAAUGUACUGUAUAUGUACUUAAAUUGAUUUAGCAGAAAUUAUAAAUUAAUGCAUUUCAUGUUAAUUCCUCUUUGAAGUAAUUCAAAUUCUAAUUAACAUAUGAUUUAAUCAAAUGUACCGGUAUAAAGAAAAUUAGAUUCAUAUGCAUUAACUUGUGAUUAUGUGAUAAUCCUUUUCAGGAAGUUGAUAGAAACUGCUAUUUUAUGAACAUUAACAGUACCUGUUAUCUGAAUUUGUAGUUUAGUUAAUCAUUGUGAAGUUGCGCUUGUUGUUCUUGAAAAUUGUGAUAUAUUUUACAAGAUAGGGGAAGCAAUCGUGCUAAAAAUUCAAGAAAAAAACCUUAAGGAAGCUUGUUUGUCAACAAAUUCAGAUCUGUUUUAAAAUUUUACAUCUGAUGAUACUGGCCAAAAAUUAUUCAUUGACUUGUAGUAAUUUUAAAAAAAAUAUCAAAAUAAUUUUUGAAUAAAAUUUGAAUAUUUUUCAUUUUCUUUAUAGUUUACGGAGCUCUUUAUCGAAGAGAAGAUUGAUAUAGCCUAUAAAUUGCCAUUGUCAUGCAACCAUCUUAAUUUUGUAUCAACUCUUUGUCAAGUUGGAGCUAGAUUAUCUAUGGUUUUCACAGAUCCCUCAUUAUUUGUGAUUGUUACUAAAAGAUAGCUUUCUGGUUGUAAUUGGAGUGGAUUUGAUUGAUUGUAAAUUAACUGGAAUAAAUGAUGUUUUCUGUA